CCUACGGGAGGCAGCAGUGGGGAAUAUUGCGCCAUGGGCGAAAGCCUGACGCAGCGACGCCGCGUGAGGGAUGAAGGUCUUCGGAUCGUAAACCUCUGUCAGCAGGGAAGAACGGUCACUGUGCUAAUCAGCAGUGAAUUGACGGUACCUGCAAAGGAAGCACCGGCUAACUCCGUGCCAGCAGCCGCGUUAAUACGGAGGGUGCGAGCGUUAAUCGGAAUUACUGGGCGUAAAGCGCUCGUAGGCGGUAUGUCAAGUCAAGGGUGAAAUCCCCGCGCUCAACGUGGGAACUGCCUUUGAAACUGGCAAACUGGAGUAUGUGAGAGGAUAGUGGAAUUCCAGGUGUAGGAGUGAAAGCCGUAGAUAUCUGGAGGAACAUCAGUGGCGAAGGCGACUAUCUGGCACAUAACUGACGCUGAGGAGCGAAAGCGUGGGUAGCAAACAGGAUUAGAUACCCGAGUAGUC
rnacentral:rRNA from 1 species